rnacentral:tRNA from 1 species
UGGACUUUAGCUCAAUGGCAGAGCAUUUGCCUAGCAUGUGUGGGGCACUGAGUUCAAUCCUCAGAACUGCAU